GAGGCAGCAGGUGGGGAAUAUUGCGCAAUGGGCGGAAGCCUGACGCAGCGACGCCGCGUGGGGGAUGACGGCCUUCGGGUUGUAAACCUCUUUCACCCAUGACGAAGCGAAAGUGACGGUGGUGGGAGAAGAAGCACCGGCCAACUACGUGCCAGCAGCCGCGGUAAUACGUAGGGUGCAAGCGUUGUCCGGAAUUAUUGGGCGUAAAGAGCUCGUAGGCGGUUUGUUGCGUCGGCUGUGAAAACCUGAGGCUCAACCUCAGGCCUGCAGUCGCUACGAGCAGACUAGAGUGUUGCAGGGGAGACUGGAAUUCCUGGUGUAGCGGUGAAAUGCGCAGAUAUCAGGAGGAACACCGGUGGCGAAGGCGGGUCUCUGGGCAACAACUGACGCUGAGGAGCGAAAGCGUGGGGAGCGAACAGGAUUAGAUACCCUGGUAGUCCACGCCGUAAACGUUGGGCGCUAGGUGUGGGGCUCAUUCCACGAGUUCCGUGCCGCAGCUAACGCAUUAAGCGCCCCGCCUGGGGA
rnacentral:rRNA from 1 species